GAUUAUGGCUCAGGAUGAACGCUAGCUACAGGCUUAACACAUGCAAGUCGAGGGGCAGCAUUGGAGUAGCAAUACUCAGAUGGCGACCGGCGCACGGGUGAGUAACACGUAUCCAACCUGCCGCUUACUCGGGGAUAGCCUUUCGAAAGAAAGAUUAAUACCCGAUGGUAUAAAGAGUUCGCAUGUUCUCUUUGUUAAAGAAUUUCGGUAAGCGAUGGGGACGCGUUCCAUUAGAUAGUUGGCGGGGUAACGGCCCACCAAGUCUACGAUGGAUAGGGGUUCUGAGAGGAAGGUCCCCCACAUUGGAACUGAGACACGGUCCAAACUCCUACGGGAGGCAGCAGUGAGGAAUAUUGGUCAAUGGACGAGAGUCUGAACCAGCCCAAGUAGCGUGAAGGAUGACUGCCCUAUGGGUUGUAAACUUCUUUUAUAAGGGAAUAAAGUGAGGGACGUGUCCCUUUUUGUAUGUACCUUAUGAAUAAGGAUCGGCUAACUCCGUGCCAGCCGCGGC
rnacentral:rRNA from 1 species